AACGAACGCUGGCGGCAGGCCUAACACAUGCAAGUCGAGCGGACCCUUCGGGGUUAGCGGCGGACGGGUGAGUAACGCGUGGGAACGUGCCCUUUGCUUCGGAAUAGCCCUGGGAAACUGGGAGUAAUACCGGAUACGCCCUUUUGGGGAAAGAUUUAUCGGCGAAGGAUCGGCCCGCGUUGGAUUAGGUAGUUGGUGGGGUAAUGGCCUACCAAGCCGACGAUCCAUAGCUGGUUUGAGAGGAUGAUCAGCCACACUGGGACUGAGACACGGCCCAGACUCCUACGGGAGGCAGCAGGGGGGAAUCUUAGACAAUGGGGGAAACCCUGAUCCAGCCAUGCCGCGUGAGCGAUGAAGGCCUUAGGGUUGUAAAGCUCCUUCAACGGGGAAGAUAAUGACGGUACCCGGAGAAGAAGCCCCGGCUAACUCCGUG
rnacentral:rRNA from 1 species